rnacentral:rRNA from 1 species
UACAGAGGUCCCGAGCGUUGUUCGGAUUCACUGGGCGUAAAGGGUGCGUAGGUGGUGAGGUAAGUCGGAUGUGAAAUCUCCGGGCUCAACCCGGAAACUGCAUUGGAAACUACCUUGCUUGAGGGUUUGAGGGGGGGACUGGAAUUCUCGGUGCAGCAGUGAAAUGCGUAGAUAUCUGGAGGAAUACCGGUGGCGAAGGCGGCAUCCUGGACCGGCAUUGACGCUGAGGAGCGAAAGCUAGGGGAGCAAACGGGG